rnacentral:lncRNA from 1 species
UCAAAUUUUAAAUUUUGUACAAUUUUGAAAUUUAAAAAUUUUAAUUUUAAUUCAAAUUUAAAUUUAGAUUUUAAAUUAUUUUAAAAUAAAAUUAAAUAAAAAUAUUAAUUUAUGCAAACAUCAAAAAAAAAAUUUGCCAAACAGCUUUUCAAAAUCACUUCAGAAAAAUCACUUUUAUCUAAACUCUGCCAAACGCUCUACAACUUUUAACCAAAAUCACUUCUUCAAACUAAAAUCACUUUUUCAGAAACUAUGCCAAACAGGCCCUUCCUCUGUUUCAAGAGGUUCUUAUAGUCGACGUCCAUCUCUAAAAGACAUCAAACAAUCAUUAUCUUAAAAGAUUUAAGCUGACGGAGGAUGAUAUUUUUUGAUUUUUUAGGAGGGUGACGGAG